AAGAGCACCGUUAUUGUAUUAAAAAGAACCAUCUGUGGCAGAAACAAUGGCUUCAAAUUAUCUGUGAAUACCCAGUGAACAAAAUAUAAAGCUUUUUCCUGCUCAUUAUGUGGGCUAAGCUAGGGGGUGGAAGAUAGGAGAGGCACAGACUUUGCUAUAACUGACUUUUGUUGUUCUUGCUUGCAUUCUUCUCCUUUUUAAAUCGGCCCCCUUUUCACAUUGUGUGUCGCCAUAAACGGCUUUUCUUGUUGCAGAGACUCGCGGAGAGAAGACAAGCGGAGCUCCAGACAGAGAGCGGGGCUGCGCGGCUCCGCACGCCCCGCGAAGGCACCCCGGCGGUCGGAUCCGAACCGCGCGGACUCCCGGGGGCUACGGAGGGGAGGCGACAUGCGGGGCGGGACGCAGCCGGACCUGGAGCUGCUGCCGCCGGACUCAUUUGGGCCGCGGCGACGGCUGAAGAUUUCCGGGGAAGUUGAGCGAAACUGCGAGUUGUUUAAUUUGUGCCAAUCAAGAGGAGAGGAAGACAAGUCCCGAAGUGGCAGUAAGUUGAACUGCGAUGGAGAGGAGAAGCCCCGAGCGAGAGGCUCUGCGUGUCCGUGUGCAUUUACGUAACAUGAGAUUAAAGACACGCCCCGGCUGAACCAGACGGCAGAAACUGGGACCAGGUGAUGCUGAUGGAGGAACGUCAUCUUGGCUCAACAAAUGAAGAAGAUGCUGACAUUUCACACUCCAACACACAGUAAAUGUGUAAAACUGUUUCCAGGUGAAGAGAAGCAGAUCAGAAGGAAUCCAGGUGAACUGGAAUCACACAGAGAAACGUGACUGCUGCUGCAGGGAUGGGAUGAUGCGGUCAGUGUGAGCAGCCUGUAUCUGCCGGCCCCCAGAUUUUCCUUUGUGCUGCUGGAAUUAACUACGACUCGUCACAUGUAACCGACUGCUAACCUCCAACCCCAUUCAGGAACCGUCGCCUGUGUGUGUGAGAGGGGCAGAGAAAGGAAGAGGUCAAGCUGUCACAAACACAAGCAAAAUCAUUGUUCCCAAUGGAAAAGCACAAAUCCACUCCAACCAGAACAAACACCGACAGAUACACUUGCAAAAACUGUAGAGCUUUACUCAACCUGCUGGAAAUGAAACAUGAUUUGAUGAAACUGCACAUAUUAAAAUAAACUGAAAUGUGAUGUAAUUUCAACUGAAAUUUGACGUAGUAUUAAAAUCAUUUACUUAGCAAACUUAGUCAUACAUAGAUUUAGCAAUUUCAUUUUGAAUUAUUUCAUUUUCUUCAAUGACUAUUUUGAGCUAUUUUGUUUUUGCAACAAUAAGACUGUCAUUAAUUUCACAGUAGGAUCUAUAGACAUGUUGCAGUGUGAGAUCCCGCCCCCUGCUGCUAGCUGACGAUGACUAGCAUUGGUUUUAGCGGUCAAGUUGCCGACAUAACACGCCAAAUCUUAAAGAGAAUGGUCUACACUACGACAACUGUUUAUUUUGUGAUUAUUAACUUUAGCUAAUCUAACAGCUGACUGAUUAGCUAAUUUAAUCGCCUGCUCAACUGACGAUCUGUCAGAGUUUUUUCUAAACUGAACCGAAACACCAAAUUCAGCAGCACAUCUACAUGUUAGGUUGUCAUAGUCAAGCUAGCAUAACUGAACUCCUUCCCUGUCCCUUGCUAUUUUUUUAUUAAAACUUUUUCCUGAUCUUGUUUUCCGUCUGUUGUAGUGUAGCAAAGCACUGCGUCCCUUUUUCUUUAACACAUCACAGGUACGUUUAAUAUUUGGCGCGUUGUGCUGGCAACUUAACAGCUAAAACCAAUGAUAGCCUCCUUAUUGGAGUGUCUCUCUAUGCAUGGUUAAUGAAGAAGAGUUGUGAAUAAGUGCGGGUUGUGUUUGAGGAUGAAGGCAUCGACCGCCUGAUGACACGAAUCACAAUUCAGUCUCAGACAAAACGCUUUUCUUCUCUUCACAAGAAGGAACUCAGUUAUUUCCAAUCCCAUUUUCUCUUGUCUACAGUGUUUUGUAUUUUCUCAGAGAUUUUCUUGCUUAAUGUCAUUUUAAAUAUUGAAUUGAACCUUAUUAUUUGACUCAUUUUUGAGCAAAUCUUAAAUUAUCCUGUCUUCCUCUGACCUGCCUGUUGUGUUCCUUGGUUGGUUGUUUGCUAAUGUUCUCCAACAGCUUAAAAGAAAUAAAUUUCUGGUAAUUAAUGGGGUAAAAUGAGGUUGGUGGUGAAAUGAUAAGAACCUAUAUGGUGCCAAUUUGUCCAUUCAGCAGCCAGGACAGCCCAGACUGGGAGAAUGGCCAAGUGCUUGAGUGGUUUUACACAAAAAGUGUUUUCUUUUUUUUUUAAGCAAUUUGUUUGAAAUUCCUGCCUGUGAAAAGAAAUGUAUUGUAAUGUAAAAACACAUUUGUCAAUCAACACCAUACAUUAAAGGAGGGAAUGCUGUAAUGGGCAUAAAGCCUGAUAUAAGAGGCCCUAUCACGUGGCAGAACACAGCAGGAAGGUGUUUAUUAUGCUGUCACAUCUCAGCAGGACGCAGUAAAAUAAAUGCCUCUUUGCUAAAAAAA